rnacentral:rRNA from 1 species
GACGAACGCUGGCGGCGUGCUUAACACAUGCAAGUCGAACGGAAAGGCCCUGCUUUUGUGGGGUGCUCGAGUGGCGAACGGGUGAGUAACACGUGAGUAACCUGCCCUUGACUUUGGGAUAACUUCAGGAAACUGGGGCUAAUACCGGAUAGGAGCGCCUGCUGCAUGGUGGGGGUUGGAAAGUUUCGGCGGUUGGGGAUGGACUCGCGGCUUAUCAGCUUGUUGGUGGGGUAGUGGCUUACCAAGGCUUUGACGGGUAGCCGGCCUGAGAGGGUGACCGGCCACAUUGGGACUGAGAUACGGCCCAGACUCCUACGGGAGGCAGCAGUGGGGAAUAUUGCACAAUGGGCGGAAGCCUGAUGCAGCAACGCCGCGUGCGGGAUGACGGCCUUCGGGUUGUAAACCGCUUUCGCCUGUGACGAAGCGUGAGUGACGGUAAUGGGUAAAGAAGCACCGGCUAACUACGUGCCAGCAGCCGCGGUGAUACGUAGGGUGCGAGCGUUGUCCGGAUUUAUUGGGCGUAAAGGGCUCGUAGGUGGUUGAUCGCGUCGGAAGUGUAAUCUUGGGGCUUAACCCUGAGCGUGCUUUCGAUGCGGGUUGACUUGAGGAAGGUAGGGGAGAAUGGAAUUCCUGGUGGAGCGGUGGAAUGCGCAGAUAUCAGGAGGAACACCAGUGGCGAAGGCGGUUCUCUGGGCCUUUCCCGACGCUGAGGAGCGAAAGCGUGGGGAGCGAACAGGCUUAGAUACCCUGGUAGUCCACGCUGUAAACGGUGGGUACUAGGUGUGGGGUCCAUUCCACGGGUUCCGUGCCGUAGCUAACGCUUUAAGUACCCCGCCUGGGGAGUACGGCCGCAAGGCUAAAACUCAAAGGAAUUGACGGGGCCCCGCACAAGCGGCGGAGCAUGCGGAUUAAUUCGAUGCAACGCGUAGAACCUUACCUGGGUUUGACAUGGAUCGGGAGUGCUCAGAGAUGGGUGUGCCUCUUUUGGGGUCGGUUCACAGGUGGUACAUGGCUGUCGUCAGCUCGUGUCGUGAGAUGUUGGGUUAAGUCCCGCAACGAGCGCAACCCUUGUUCACUGUUGCCAGCACGUUAUGGUGGGGACUCAGUGGAGACCGCCGGGGUCAACUCGGAGGAAGGUGGGGAUGACGUCAAGUCAUCAUGCCCCUUAUGUCCAGGGCUUCACGCAUGCUACAAUGGCUGGUACAGAGAGUGGCGAGCCUGUGAGGGUGAGCGAAUCUCGGAAAGCCGGUCUCAGUUCGGAUUGGGGUCUGCAACUCGACCUCAUGAAGUCGGAGUCGCUAGUAAUCGCAGAUCAGCAACGCUGCGGUGAAUACGUUCCCGGGGCU